rnacentral:lncRNA from 1 species
GCGGAGAGCGUGAGCCGCCUGAGGGGCGGCGUGGCGCAGGCCGAGCUCUACCUGGCGGCUCACGGGUCGCGCCUCAAGAAGGGCCCGCGCCGCGGCCGCCGCGGCCGACCCCCCGCGCUGCUGGCCUCGGCGCUGGGCCUGGGCGGCUGCGUGCCCUGGGGUGCCGGGCGACUGCGGCGCGGCCACGGCCCCGAGCCCGACUCGCCCUUCCGCCGCAGCCCGCCCCGCGGCCCCGCCUCCCCGCAGCGCUGACCUCCACGCCCGGACCCCUGGCCACCCCGACAAGCUUCGCCGAGGUGCCGACCGACCAACUGAUCGCGGACGCCGGCUGGAAGGACUACGGAUCCGCAGGAAGAGGCAGUGGGGGGCCAGGGGCCCAGUAGAGGAGGCUGAGCUACUCGGAAGGCUGAAACAGGAGAAUCGCUUGAACCUGGGAGGCAGAGGUUGCGGUGAGCCGAAAUCGCGCCAGUGUACUCCAGCCUGGGCAACAAGAGCAAAACUUCGUCUCAAAAAGAAAAAGAAAACUUGAGUAUUAAAUGAGAAGUCAUACUAAGUACUUGGCACAUAGCAGAGAUCCGUAAAUGAUGGAACCAAUUUGCCCAGCCCUGGAGAGGCCGCCAGGACAGAACCCCCAGGCAGCGUGGGCCUCUGCUUCUCUAGAGCAUCACCAUAUCAGGAAUCCCUGGAAUGGGCCCUGGGGAACUCCAUAAGGGGAGAAGUGGAGGAGGGGCAGGCUUUUCAUCCCAGGAACAUUCCAUUCUAACUGCUCAGGCUAGGGGAUCCCAGCCAAGGACAAAGGCCCAAGGGAACCUCUGCUUCCCCAGGAGUCCCAUUCCAUACUAUUGAAUCCUGCAUCUUCUCUCCACAAUGCCCCCGCCCCCUUCAGGCAGAUUUCAAGUUGAAGGGCUUGGGUGGGGCUGGGUGGCUGUGGGAAAGAGGCCAUUAAAGCUCUUGGAAUUAUUCUUUCCAGCUCCUUCCAACUCCUCAGAACCUCCACUCUAUGGAUCUGGACCUCUGGAUUCGGCUUUCUCCCUGGGCACUGCCUUCAGGAAGACGUUGAGAAUUGACCUUACACAAUCCCAGCGCCCUCCUCACAGGAGCCUUUCACUUUACAGUGGCAAGGGGCUGGUUCUGGGGAACUGGCUGAUGCUCUGAAUUUCUUCAUAUACCCCACAUUUGACUUUGGCUUACACUGUACAAUUGGAGAUGUUGCUACAGGUCCCUGAGAUGCAAUCAGAUUAAGCGUAGCAAGCAUUGCCAAUGGGAAAGUCAAAAUAAUUUAUUUUUUUUCCCUUUCCCCCUACCCCAUCCCCAGCCAAGAAUUUCUUUUAAAGAUAUCGUCAUCAUUCUUAAACAACAUUCUUAACCCCCAGCUGGGGUCCCCAUUUUAGUAGAUGUCAUUGCUUCAAGUCUAACGGCGCCGGGAGGCCUGUUUGAGGGAAAACAUUAGUUUGAAAAAUCCCCGUUCCCUUCAUCCACUGCCCUUGUUCUCCACGUGGGAGUGUGCCUGUGGCCCCUUAGAAAGAUAGUCUGCUGGCUCCUAGGGGUUGGGGUGGGGGACACACCUUUUUCUCAGGAAGAGGUGAUGGCAAUGUAAAACAUCUAAGCAAAGUUUUAAAUGAAAAAAAGGAAACACAUUUAAACAUCCUGAUAAUGGAGGGAAGGGGGGCACAUUUACACAUAGCCCAGAACUUGUAGAAUUCUGCAUAGUGAAUGUAUAUUGAAUUAGUCUCCUGCCUUAUACAUUCAGGAAGAAUAAAUUUCCAUAAUGUAAGGCAAAUGCAUGGGGUUCUGAGGUUUACUUUGCAAGUGUCCUUGCUGCCUUUCCUCUGUGUCUAUUAUGGCUCUUUAAGUUGACGGUUCCUGGAGCAGCUUGUAUUUAAUUUCGUUUGGCAGUCUGGCCCUGUUGACUUUGAUUUGCAGACCAAUUCUCCCUUGACCUGACUCACAGCCGCCUGCUCUUACCCCCAUCCUCAGGAAGUCUUCCUCAUUAAAGGAUGUGAUGACGGAGCUCAGGGAUGAGAAUGCACAUGUGAGACUGUGUGACACCGAGGAGGGUUGUGCGAACUGGUGACAACAUGGCAGCACCAUGGCCUGUGGGGGUUGUGUGACUGUGUGACUGUGCUGGCGACCAUAUGGACCUGUUUUGUCAGUCGGUGUCUAAGCAGGAGAUGGCACACUCAAACUGGGAAGUGUUUUAAACAUAGGCUAUUCUGGCCUGGCAUGGUGGAUCACACCUGUAAUCCCAGCACUUUGGGAGGCUGAGGCAGGAGGGUUGCUUGAGCUCAGGAGUUCGAGACCAGCCUGGGAGAUCCCUGCUCUAUAAAAAUGAAAAAAUUAGCCAGGUGGGGUGGCACAUGCCUGUGGUACCAGCUACUUAGGAGGCUGAGGUGGGAGGAUUGCUUGAGCCCAGGAGGUCAAGGCUGCACUGAGCUGUGAUCCUACCACUGUGCUCCAGCCUGGGCAACAGAACAAGACCCUAUCUCAAGAAAUAAAACAAAAAGACUAUUUCCAAAGUCGUGGGCUGGGCUUGGUGGCUCACAUUUGUAAUCCCAGUACUUUGGGAGGCCGAGGCAGGCGGAUCACCUGAGGUCAGGAGUUUG